GAUGAACGCUGGCGGCGUGCCUAAUACAUGCAAGUCGAGCGAACGGACGAGAAGCUUGCUUCUCUGAUGUUAGCGGCGGACGGGUGAGUAACACGUGUAUAACCUACCUAUAAGACUGGGAUAACUUCGGGAAACCGGAGCUAAUACCGUAUAAUAUUUUGAACCGCAUGGUUCAAAAGUGAAAGACGGUCUUGCUGUCACUUAUAGAUGGAUCCGCGCUGCAUUAGCUAGUUGGUAAGGUAACGGCUUACCAAGGCAACGAUGCAUAGCCGACCUGAGAGAGUGAUCGGACACACUGGAACUGAGACACGGUCAAGACUCCUACGGGAGGCAGCAGUAGGGAAUCGUACGCAAUGGGCGAAAGCAUGACGGAGCAACGCCGAGUGAGUGAUGAAGGUCUUCGGAUCGUAAAACUCUGUUAUUAGGGAAGAACAUAUGUGUAAGUAACUGUGCACAGCUUGACGGUACCUAAUCAGAAAGCCACGGCUAACUACGUG
rnacentral:rRNA from 1 species